rnacentral:rRNA from 1 species
AGAAACUCAAAUGAAUUGACGGGGCCCGCACAAGCGGUGGAGUAUGUGGUUAAUUCGAUGCAACGCAAGAACCUUACCUGGUCUUGACAUCCCGGAGACCCUUAGGAAACUAGGGGGUGCUUCCAUCUGGAAGAAUCUGGAGACAGGUGCUGCAUGGCUGUCGUCAGCUCGUGUCGUGAGAUGUUGGGUUAAGUCCCGCAACGAGCGCAACCCUUGCCUUUAGUUGCCAGCAGUUCGGCUGGGCACUCUAAAGGGACUGCCGGUGUUAAACCGGAGGAAGGUGGGGAUGACGUCAAGUCCUCAUGGCCUUUAUGACCAGGGCUACACACGUACUACAAUGGCCGAUACAAAGGGCAGCGACACUGCGAGGUGAAGCCAAUCCCGUAAAAUCGGUCUCAGUCCGGAUUGGAGUCUGCAGCUCGACUCCAUGAAGUUGGAAUCGCUAGUAAUCGUGGAUCAGCAUGCCACGGUGAAUACGUUCCCGGGCCUU